CCACCAAGCACCUGCCCAUCCCACUCCAUAGCCCAGCCACCCACUCUCAUGUACCAUAUGACCAUCCCAGUAAGCAAGCCAACCACUAGAAUUUGACUGGCAUGCACCUGUGACUUACAUAAACCAGACCUCUACAUAGCCUACAUGUCUUCAUUUUGCUGGAGACUGCCCAUCAUCCUAGCCUGUUA